CACAGUGAUGACUAAAAGAUUAAUUAAUAACUUUCGUUCUACUGAUUCGAUCAAACGAUCGUGUAGAGAACAAUUUUCCAAUUCUGAUG
rnacentral:snoRNA from 1 species